rnacentral:tRNA from 1 species
AAGGGGGAGGCCCCAACCAACAAGAACUGCUAACUCUUGCAUCCGAAUCUAAAACCUCGGCCCCCUUG